GAUGAACGCUAGCUACAGGCUUAACACAUGCAAGUCGCGGGACCGGCGCACGGGUUAGUCACUUGUAUCCAACCUGCCCUUCACCCCGGGAUAACCCGGCGAAAGACGGACUAAUACCGUGUGGUGUAGGACGGGGAUGCGUCCGAUUAGCUUGACGGCGGGGUAACGGCCCAUCGUGGCUACGAUCGGUAGGGGUUCUUAGAGGAAGGUCCCCGACACUGGAACUGAGACACGGUCCAGACUCCUACGGGAGGCAGCAGUGAGGAAUAUUGGUCAAUGGGCGUAAGCCUGAACCAGCCAAGUAGCGUGCAGGACGACGGCCUAUGGGUUGUAAACUGCUUUUAUGCGGGGAUAGGUACCGCAUGAAUAAGGACCGGCUAAUUCCGUGCCAGCAGCCGCGGUAAUUC
rnacentral:rRNA from 1 species